CAAUAUCAAAUAUCAAAUGUAAUUCGGUGAGCUCUCCCAAAUGAAAAAUGGCGUCGAUAGGUGGACCACAGAUUCUACUGCACUCUCCUUCUCCAUCGUUGAAACUCAAACUGAAACUGAAACCCUCAUCAUCAUCCUUUCUCCUCUUCCCAAAACGCAUUCCUCGUCGCACCUUCUGCUCCAUCAAUUCGAAUUCGGCGCCUCAUGGUUCGAGUUCCAUCGUCACCAACCUCCUCCAUUACCUGAACCACUCCUGUACCCAAUUCCACGCCACAGCCGAAGCUAAACAACAAUUACUCGCCGCCGGUUUCCACAUGCUCAACGAAAACAAAGACUGGCACCUCAAGCCCGGCGGGCGCUACUUCUUCACCCGCAACAUGUCCUGUUUGAUCGCUUUCGCCAUCGGAGAUAAGUACAAUGUCGGGGACGGUUUUCACGUGAUAGCGGCGCACACCGACAGCCCCUGCCUCAAACUGAAGCCCAAAACGGCGUCGUGCAAGUGUAACUAUUCCAUGGUGAAUGUGCAGACUUAUGGAGCUGGCUUGUGGUACACUUGGUUUGAUAGGGAUUUGAGUGUUGCUGGAAGGGUCAUUCUCAGAACUGGCCAUAAUUCUUUUGUGCAUAAGCUUGUCAAAGUCGAUAGACCCAUUUUGCGCAUUCCCACACUCGCCAUUCAUCUCGACCGCACAGUGAACCUGGAUGGUUUUAAACCAAAUCUAGAGACUCAUCUUCUUCCUUUACUCUCAAUGAAACCUGAGGACACUUCUUUGGAAUCCAACUCCAAGGAGAAGAAUAGUGCCUUGUCAUCCAAAGCUCAUCAUCAUCGGCUGCUUAUGCAGGUACUGUCAGAUGAGUUGAACUGUGAUGUUGAUGACAUAGUGAAUAUUGAACUGAAUGUUUGUGAUACUCAACCUAGCUGCCUUGGAGGUGGAAACAAUGAAUUUAUUUUUUCUGGAAGAUUAGAUAAUCUGGCUUCAAGUUAUUGUGCAUUAAGGGCACUUAUUGACUCGUGUGAAUCUCCUGGUGACUUAGCAAGUGAAAAUGCAAUUCGAAUGGUUGCUUUAUUUGACAAUGAGGAGGUGGGUUCAGGUUCUGUUCAAGGAGCUGGAGCACCCACCAUGUUUCAGGCCAUGAGACGUAUAGUUGGUGACUUAACAAAUAACUAUGUUAGUGAAGGCUCUUUUUGAGCGCACUAUUCGCCAAUCAUUUCUUGUGUCUGCAGAUAUGGCCCAUGGAGUUCAUCCAAAUUUUAUGGAUAAGCAUGAAGAACUCCACCGACCAAAGCUGCAGAGAGUAUUGGUUAUUAAGCACAAUGCAAACCAGCGCUAUGCUACUAGUGGAAUCACACCUUUUCUUUUUAAAGAAGCUGGAAAAAUCCAUAACCUUCCAACUCAGGAAUUUGCGGUUAGAAAUGGCAUGGGAUGUGGAUCAACCAUAGGCCCAAUACUUGCUUCUGGAGUUGGCAUCCGAACGGUUGACUGUGGAAUUGCUCAACUUUCAAUGCACAGUAUAAGGGAAAUAUGUGCGAAGGAAGAUAUAGACAUUGCUUACAAGCAUUUCAAAGCUUUCUACCAAAGCUUUUCAAGCGUAGACAAGAUGCUGACUGUGGAUACCUGAGAGUUGCAUUUGCUGAGGAAGUGUUGAUGGUAAAAUCAGCACAAUGUUUUUAAGAUGGCUUUGGAUUCAAUCUCCGAACAAGUUGAUUUCCCUCCUUGAACUCAAGCAGAUGGAUUAUGCCAGAAUUUUGUUUUGCAAAUAUAACUGCGUUCCGAUUCUUUCUAUUUGCCCAAAGCGUACUUGUAAAUACAUUAAAUUAAGACAUGAAUUUUCUUGUCAGCAGUUCUUAGAUUGUUGGAGUAGGUGGUAAGAGUAGCACACCAUGAAAUCUGAAUGCCUAUUAUCAUGUUUAACGUUAAUUAUCGCACGUGCCACGAUGCCAGGAUGGUAUAGAACUUGAAAUAGAUAAUCAAGUAUUGGGUGGUGCAAUUAUGGUGUGCUCAUA